GAUGAACGCUGGCGGCGUGCCUAAUACAUGCCAGUCGAGCGAACAGACGAGGAGCUUGCUCCUCUGACGUUAGCGGCGGACGGGUGAGUAACACGUGGAUAACCUACCUAUAAGACUGGGAUAACUUCGGGAAACCGGAGCUAAUACCGGAUAAUAUAUUGAACCGCAUGGUUCAAUAGUGAAAGACGGUUUUGCUGUCACUUAUAGAUGGAUCCGCGCCGCAUUAGCUAGUUGGUAAGGUAACGGCUUACCAAGGCAACGAUGCGUAGCCGACCUGAGAGGGUGAUCGGCCACCCUGGAACUGGGACACGGUCCAGACUCCUGCGGGACGCAGCAGUAGGGAAUCUUCCGCAAUGGGCGAAAGCUUGACGGAGCAACGCCGCGUGAGUGAUGAAGGUCUUCGGAUCGUAAAGCUCUGUUAUUAGGGAAGAACAAAUGUGUAAGUAACUAUGCACGUCUUGACGGUACCUAAUCAGAAAGCCACGGCUAACUACGUG
rnacentral:rRNA from 1 species